rnacentral:rRNA from 1 species
GCUCUACAACCCUUUGUGAACAUACCUAUAACUGUUGCUUCGGCGGGUAGGGUCUCCGUGACCCUCCCGGCCUCCCGCCCCCGGGCGGGUCGGCGCCCGCCGGAGGAUAACCAAACUCUGAUUUAACGACGUUUCUUCUGAGUGGUACAAGCAAAUAAUCAAAACUUUUAACAACGGAUCUCUUGGUUCUGGCAUCGAUGAAGAACGCAGCGAAAUGCGAUAAGUAAUGUGAAUUGCAGAAUUCAGUGAAUCAUCGAAUCUUUGAACGCACAUUGCGCCCGCCAGCAUUCUGGCGGGCAUGCCUGUUCGAGCGUCAUUUCAACCCUCAAGCUCUGCUUGGUGUUGGGGCCCUACAGCUGAUGUAGGCCCUCAAAGGUAGUGGCGGACCCUCCCGGAGCCUCCUUUGCGUAGUAACUUUACGUCUCGCACUGGGAUCCGGAGGGACUCUUGCCGUAAAACCCCCCAAUUUUCCAAAGGUUGACCUCGGAUCAGGUAGGAAUACCCGCUGAACUUAAGCAUAUCAAUAAGCGGAGGAAAAGAAACCAACAGGGAUUGCCUCAGUAACGGCGAGUGAAGCGGCAACAGCUCAAAUUUGAAAUCUGGCCCUAGGCCCGAGUUGUAAUUUGCAGAGGAUGCUUUUGGUGCGGUGCCUUCCAAGUUCCCUAGAACGGGACGCCAGAGAGGGUGAGAGCCCCGUACAGUUGGACACCAAGCCUUUGUAAAGCUCCUUCGACGAGUCGAGUAGUUUGGGAAUGCUGCUCAAAAUGGGAGGUAUAUUUCUUCUAAAGCUAAAUACCGGCCAGAGACCGAUAGCGCACAAGUAGAGUGAUCGAAAGAUGAAAAGCACUUUGAAAAGAGGGUUAAACAGCACGUGAAAUUGUUAAAAGGGAAGCGCUUGUGACCAGACUUGCGUCCGGUGAAUCACCCAGCUCUCGCGGCUGGGGCACUUCGCCGGCUCAGGCCAGCAUCAGCUCGCUGUCGGGGACAAAAGCUUCAGGAACGUAGCUCUCUUCGGGGAGUGUUAUAGCCUGUUGCAUAAUACCCUUCGGCGGGCUGAGGUACGCGUCC